CUGCAGUAGUAAUUAGCUAUAUCCAGAGUAAAAGAAAGAAGAGUAAGGAUAUAAACUUUCCAGCAUACGUGAAGGUUCCAAGGUCAUAAAGGGCCUGGCUGGUGCGGGAAGACCAGUGUGGCUAGAGAAUUGUGAGCAAGAGUUGCAUAAAGUAUAGCCUGGGCUCUCUGGCCACAGGUUAUUUAAUCAGGGAGUCAGCUGAAUCAAACUGAGUCAAUUGAGCUGUGUUUUCACUACUUGGAGUUAGUGAUAUAGAGAAUUUAGCCAGUUUGUUUUGGGUUCUGAAGAUAUAAGUUCAUGUAGAAAUUGAAGUUCCUGUAAAGUUAGGAAAAGAGGCAGCAUCCUGGGCACCAGAGCCCUGUGUAAACCUUUGUUAAGAGGAACGGAAUCUAAGAUAUAUCUGCGGAGAGAACUGGAAGUGGAACAAACUUGGAGAAAAGAGCAGCCAAGAGAUAAGAGACUGAGGUAUGAAGAGAUGAAGUAAUUUAUCCCAAAUGAGACAGCUGCUGCGCUGACAUGCUCUUGAAUUCAAUAUCUCCAAUCACAAUCUUCUGAUUCUCCUCCUUCCUGACUGCACAAGAUAGAAGUACUCCAUGUGGAGUUACAUGAGAACCUUCCUGUAAAAUCAAUCUGAGAGUGGUGGAAUCAUUGAAUUGGUGGCGAGCAGAUGCUGAUCGGGAGGCAGGACCAGGCAUCACCAUCAUGGAUCUCAAGUUAUACUCACAGCAACCUUAGGAUGAAGGAACUGUUAUUAUUCUCAUUUUACUGAUGAGAAAACUGAGGAUAAUGACCUGAUGAAGGUCAUACAACUACUAAAUGGAGCUGAUGGGAUUCCAACCUAGGUGUGCAUGACUCUAGAGUCCAUGCUCUUAACCACCAUACAUUGUCCAAGUAUAUUUGAUGGUUUUAAUCAUUAACAAUUUCAUAGGUGCAAAAUAAUCUAAUUGUUCUAACUUGCAUGUCUUUGCUUACUGGUAAGAUUGAAUAUUUUUUUCAGCUGAUUUUUAACCAUGGAAAUUAUUUCUCAAAUUAUCCUGUUGAUAUAUUUGUACUUUUUUUUUUUAUUGGAGUGUUCAUGCCUUUUUGAAUGGAUAUUAAAGACAAUAAACCAAAAUUAAAACAUUUU
rnacentral:lncRNA from 1 species